ACCCAUGUAUUAAACUGAACGCCACUGUUCCCGCAGAGACAUGCGUCGCUGAUUUAAAAAAAAAAGAAAAAAGAAGAAGAGACGACACCGCAAUAACUAUGGUAACAGUGGAGGAGCAACAAGCUAGGCCCUCCCUCAAAGAGGCGGCCAUGCUCAAGUAACUGCAUUUCAUUUCGGUGGCUCGUCUUGGUUUUGUUUCCCCCCCCCCACAAUGUACACUCGUGUGUGGGGAAUAUACCACGACUGGUGCCUGCCCCAAAAAAUAAAUAAAAGAAACAAUGGACUCUUAGAACCUUGUGCAGGCAGACAGCAACAUGUAUGUAGCUAAUGCUAGCACGCUAGCUAGCUAACACUAGCUCAGCUGCUGGGCUGCAUGCAAUCAGUGGGGAGUGGAGAGAGGGGGGGGGGGGGCUGCCAAGUUAAACGACGGUGACAGACUCUCUACGGUGCCAUUACUCUACACACAACUAAACAGUGGUGGUAGUGAGACAAGAAAUGCAGCAAUGUGACGAAAAAGAAGACGACUGCUAGCAAGUAACCGUGGACAUGGGAAAAAAAUGCAGUUUUUAAACUUUUAACUAAUAAAAAAAAUGUUUUAUGAGGAAGAAAAUAGUGUCAAGCAUGUCUGUAAGACCUCAAGGAUGUGCAAAAUAUGUUGAGGUGAGUAAAAUUGAAUUUAAACAGAGACUUGAUCUGUUUCAAAAAAAGCUCCAUAAUGCCUGAACUUAAUGGGAAGCAAGACCAAAAGCCAUUCACUCUGUAUGUCGGACCAUUUUUACGUUUUUGUUUCUUAUUUUUCAAACAUAGCAAGUGUCUUGUUUGGCUCCUAUGGCUGUAAAUGGUCAUCACUUCAAUAUUUCCCAUCACAUUUUCCCGUGAUGUCACAAAACAGAUCUAGUUUUCUGCUACGACUUAACUGACAAACAUUGUCAACGUACCUAUGACACUGUUACAGAAAGCUCUUCAUUCAAUAAGAUUGUAUUGAUACCUGUGCCAUAAUAAAUUCUGCUCAUUCGUCCAAUUCUUUAUUGAUUUUAUGAACUUUAGUGGAUCAAUUUUCAGCAGCACACAGUGUAGAGACAAAGUAUAGGAAAAAGACCUAUUUACUUUUGGUAACAGACAUUGUUGGGAAACUGUGGCACCCGUGCAUAGUGUCAUACAUAUGUAGCACCCUUCUAAUUUAUUUAUACGUGUUUAUCACAUUUAUUUCAGCUGAUAAAUUGUUCUGAUGUGGGUCUUUACAUUUAUUGCUGCUGUUGAUAUUUGUACGGUUAAUGUGGCGAAAGUAUACGUUAGAUACCAAAAUGCCCUAUGUUUUGAAAGGCCUUUGAACCCCUCAGGUUUCCUUUAUUUGGGGGUUCUGAAUUGUUCGGACAGGUGUCAAUCAAUUGAUCUGUCAUCGGGGAUUAACCUGUCGGCUUGUCAGAGGGGCGGGGCUAAAAGAGAAAAGUACAGAGAUGAGGAAAGAGAGACCCUGCGGGAAAAAGCGGAAAUGAGACGACACUUCAUGACCCGGAGAACUUUCAGUCAACUUCAUAAGAAAGUGUUAUUAAUUAUCGUUAUCAACAGGGGGUUCGUGUGCGUGGUUCAUGCGUUUUGGUCGUGAGGGUUCGCUACUGGCGCAGGCUGAAGACCACGAGGGGACUGUUGCUAGCUGUUAGCAUCGGCCGCUGCUAAUCAGGUGAUGCAGCGGGAUGAGGUGGGAACAUCGCCACGUGCUGCCGCGUGUCGGAGGACGAGCCGGUGCAGGACGGUCAAGCAUUGGGACGAGGCCCCGGUCGCGUCGCUGCCUCUGGGGAGAGGCCUUGGAGGAGACUGCUGGGUCGCUUCUCCGUGGUUCGGGUGUGAGUAUGCUGACCUGCGGUUUCCGAAGUGGAUUCCUGUAUGAGCUCCAACCAUAGGCUCCAACGUGGCCGCCAUCACUGAUUCUCACAACAGAUUAGCUUGUAAAUGGACAGAGGGGAAGGAGGAUCGGGAUCUCCACCGAACAGGAACUCUCCACCCUUCCACGAUUUGGUGCCUGCUUCUGUGACCAGCUGCAUCGCGCUACAGGUUUAGAUGUGACCGGAUGGGUCCAGAGUUAAAUACAAAUGUUCCUAUAGUGUGUGUUGGAACUGCGUCUCUACAUUUUCAGUCUGAACUUUUUUCACUGCACACCAAAAGAC